UGCAGUGGUGCAAUCUCAGCUCACUGCAACCUCCGCCUCCUGGGCUCAAGUGAUCCUUCUCUCUCAGCCUCCAGAAUAGCUGGGACCACAGGUGCAUGCCACCACACCCAGCUAAUUUUUGUAUUUUUUGUAGAGAUGGGGUUUUGCCAUGUUGGCCAGGCUGGUCUUGAACUCCUGAGCUCAAGUGAUCUGCCCACCUUAGCCUCCCAAAAGUGCUGGGAUUACAGGCUGGAUCAGGAAGCUGUUUCUGGUCUAGAAAUGAAGUGUUGUCAUGUUCACAUCCAGCCAGCUUGGGGUCUGAAGGGAAGUGUACAAUCUGUGAGAAGACUGUGUGCUACUCUGCAAAUUGCAGAUAAUUACUCUGAACAGAGAAGUCCUUUGAAGUUGCUGCAUGAGAGGGCCACCAUCCUCCAGACCCCAGAAUGGUAGAUCCACUGGCAGCUUGCACCAUGUGCCUGCAAAAGCUGCAGGCACUCAAAGCUAGACCUUGAGAGCAGCUGCUGGGGCUGAAUCCUGCAAAGCCACAGGGCUGGAGCUGCCAAGGCCUUGGGAGCCCACACACUGCGUCACUGUGUCCCAGAUUGGAGUCAGAGGAGAUUAUUUUGGAGCUUUAAUUUUUAAUGACUGCAGGGCAGUCAUUAAAUUUUUUUUAUAUAAUUUUUUUACAUAAAAGUCCAGCUCCCCCUUUGCCUUCCACCAUGAUUGUAUGUUUCCUGAGGCCUCCCCAGCCAUUUGAACUGUGAGUCAAUUAAAC
rnacentral:lncRNA from 1 species